UUCCCUUUGUCAUGCCAUGCUGCCACACAGAAGUAUGCAUAGUAGAUAAGAGUUGGUGUAAAAACCACAUGUGAUGUGUUUUCAUUUCAGUUAGUUUGGAGAGUGGCUCUUUGCACAAUUUACUGCACAGACAAUAAGUACUGAGUCUGCACUGUCAGUGCAGUGGAACAAGCUGUUUCAUUUCACAGCUUUCCAAGUCAUUUAUAGCCCAUAGAAAAAUUACUUAACACAUGGUGGCAUAUGUAACUCUAUAAAGCUUUCUUUGAGAAGGAGGUGGAAGAUGGCAUUUGUAUACACAAAUAUAUCGAUACACAUACUCAAGCUAACACAAUAUGUUAGCACUCUUUUGUGUUAUAAACCUAGUAGGCACACUAUCGUGGUAGCUGAAAAUGAAAAUUUUGGUAAGAACCUGCGUAUUCCUUCCUCACAUCAUGAUUUCCAGAUUCUCCCUCAGAUUUAUACUGCAGCUCUGAGGCUCUUCAGUGAAAUAUGCUUAACGUCUUGCUCAUACCUCCCUGGAACUACAUACUGGUGAGCACAGUCGUGUGCGCGGCACAGCUUGGGUACCAGAGCAGAUGCUUCUGCACUGACUGUUCAUGAGGAAAACAGAGCUCUGAAAACAGUUUGGUUCCAUCUUCUCUAUACUAUCCCAUAAGGCACAAAAGGGGUUUUCUUAUCAAAUUGAUCACAGGAUGACAACAGGAAAAAAAGGAAAACCAGCUGGAUUAUACUGGCAAAUACCUCAGGAUGGCAGAUCUAAUUGCUCCAAUUAUUACUGGAGAGGCAGGUGAACAAAUUAAACUACUGGGCCAAUCAGGAAGAGAUGAAAGAAUAUUUCCAAAAGUUUAGAGAGUUUACCAUUUCUUCAAAUUAAUGUGAUAUUUAGAUAUUAGUAGUAUGGCUAGUCCUAGCUUAAAGGAGCAUGUAUAAAAUAGUAUAGAUAACUUAAAAAGAAAAGAAGAGAGGAGGAAUAUUGUUAUUGCCUAAGCCUGAUUUAUUGCUUAAGGUUCCCUUGUGACAGAAAAUGUAUCUGAUAUGUUUAAUUUUUGAAAUUAAAAUCUGCAUUCCCCAAAAUAAAAGAGGUGCAGUAUGAGCAGAUCCACAUGUGGCAGGCUGACUGCAAGGGCUUUCCCUACUUAUUUGCUAUUCCCUUGUGUCUCUUUUUCCCUCUGUACUGAAGUAACUACUUAAGUAAGAAAUCACCCUUGCCAGUAUUUUCUGUUUUAGAUUUUGUUGGCAUUGAUUAAACUUAUGCUGUUAAGACUACUGCACAGUAGACCGUUGUAAAACCCAGUAGCAAAAAGCAAGGUUGUGAUUUCAUAUUAAAGACAGCUUAAACAAUCCCACAUUUAAUUUUAGCCUUUUUACUUAUAGAGAUAGUAGAGAAGUCUGAAAAUACCUAAUUCUUUCAGUUAGAUCUCUUCCUGGGCAAAGAUCACAUUUUACUGAUCAAUGUCUUAUUGCACAAACUGACCUCAUCUACAUGUAAAUCAAAAUGGCAAUAAGACUACAAAUCAGAUAUUACAGGUGCUAAAAAUGCGUUUUAAAAAAGAGAUCACUAGUCUUAUAUUGUUUUAUAUGAAAAACAUAAUAUACAGCAAUUUCUUUUCCAUGUACUACUGGAUAUGAAUGCAAAACUAAAAAAUGCAGUUCAAAUACUUCUCUUUAAAUUCAUGGAUAAAUAUCCAUCACAAUUAAGUCAAAAGUUGCAUAUUUAGUCAGUACAGCAUUCUAUUGAUUCAAGAAAAAUACUUGAAUGUCCGGACUAUUUUUUGCAGGUUGUCUUACAUUUUAGUAUAUAUUAGAUUUAAAGGUUAAGUACUCCUGAGAUGUUUUAUUAGGAAGGCAGUAAAUGGCAAAAAUAGCGUUUAACGUGUGCUAGAACAAAAUACAUAAGUGCUCCCUGCGGUUUUGAGACACUGCUCUGAAAAGGCCUUGAGAAGAAUUGGAUUGGACCUUGGUGCAGAAACAUGGAACUAUUCCAAUAUAACAGAAAUUCUCAGCUAUUGUGAGAAAGUGCUGGCUCUGACUCGGGCAUUUAUUGCUUAUCUAUAUACUGCCUGUGUGAAUGAGUGAGGGAUUAUGUUGUAGGAGACAGGAAUUUUCUUUUCAGAAGAUUAAGUUCAGUUUAAUAACAUAUAAGAAAAAUAAACACAUUAGUGUAUAAUUUGUAAAUUAAUUGGAGACUACUUUUUCGUAACGUUGGGCAUGUGCAUAAUCUUGGGCAUGUGUAUUUACAUUUCCUCUGUCCAUUCAUUUUCUGACACAAACAUAGAUGUGAGUAGUUUUAUGACAUUUAAUGAUACUUUGAUUUUUUCAUGGAAAUAGAAUCACUAUGGUUGGAGAAGAACUCUAAGGCCUUCAAGUCCAACUGUCAGCCCAACACCAUCAUGCCUAUUAAACCAUCUCCCAAAGUGCCACGUCUAAAAUUUUUUUUAACAUCCCCAGAGAGGUUGACUCCACUACUUCCCCGGGCAACCUGUUCGGAUGUUUCACCACUCUUUCCGUAAAGAAAUUUUUCCUAAUCCCCAGUCUAAACCUCCCCUGGUGCAACUUGAAGCUGUUUCCUGAAUCUUAUUGCUAGUUAGUUGGGAGAAGAGACCAAC